rnacentral:rRNA from 1 species
CAGCCGCCACGGUAAUACGUAGGUGGCAAGCGUUGUCCGGAAUUAUUGGGCGUAAAGCGCGCGCAGGCGGAUCGGUCAGUCUGUCUUAAAAGUUCGGGGCUUAACCCCGUGAUGGGAUGGAAACUGCCAAUCUAGAGUAUCGGAGAGGAAAGUGGAAUUCCUAGUGUAGCGGCGAAAUGCGUAGAUAUUAGGAAGAACACCAGUGGCGAAGGCGACUUUCUGGACGAAAACUGACGCUGAGGCGCGAAAGCCAGGGGAGCGAACAGGAUUAGAUACCCCAGUAGUCCCUGUCUCUUAUACA